rnacentral:rRNA from 1 species
ACCAGACUCCUACGGGAGGCAGCAGUGGGGAAUAUUGCACAAUGGGGAAACCCUGAUGCAGCGACGCCGCGUGAAGGACGAAGUAUUUCGGUACGUAAACUUCUAUCAGCAGGGAAGAAAAUGACGGUACCUGACCAAGAAGCCCCGGCUAACUACGUGCCAGCAGCCGCGGUAAUACGUAGGGGGCAAGCGUUAUCCGGAUUUACUGGGUGUAAAGGGAGCGUAGACGGCCAGGCAAGCCUGGAGUGAAAGCCCGGGGCCCAACCCCGGGACUGCUCUGGGAACUGUCCGGCUGGAGUGCGGGAGGGGCAGGCGGAAUUCCUGGUGUAGCGGUGAAAUGCGUAGAUAUCAGGAGGAACACCGGCGGCGAAGGCGGCCUGCUGGACCGCGACUGACGUUGAGGCUCGAAAGCGUGGGGAGCGAACAGGAUUAGAUACCCCUGUA